rnacentral:rRNA from 1 species
GGAAAAGAAACCAACAGGGAUUGCCUUAGUAACGGCGAGUGAAGCGGCAACAGCUCAAAUUUGAAAUCUGGCCCUCGGGUCCGAAUUGUAAUUUGUAGAGGAUGAUUUUGGUGCGGUAUCUUCCGAGUUCCUUGGAACAGGACGCCUUAGAGGGUGAGAGCCCCGUACGGUUGAAUGCCUAGCCUCUGUAAAUCUCCUUCGACGAGUCGAGUAGUUUGGGAAUGCUGCUCUAAAUGGGAGGUAAAUUUCUUCUAAAGCUAAAUAUUGGCCAGAGACCGAUAGCGCACAAGUAGAGUGAUCGAAAGAUGAAAAGCACUUUGAAAAGAGGGUUAAAUAGCACGUGAAAUUGUUGAAAGGGAAGGAUUUGUGACCAGACUUUUUCUGGGCGGAUCAUCCGGGGUUCUCUCCGGUGCACUUUGCCCAGUAAAGGCCAGCAUCGAUUUUCGGCGGCGGAUAAAAGCAGUGGGAAUGUGGCUCCCUACGGGGAGUGUUAUAGCCCAUUGUAUAAUACGCUGCUGGGGAUCGAGGUACGCGCUUCUGCAAGGAUGCUGGCGU